rnacentral:rRNA from 1 species
CAGGCUAUUGAGGUGUCAAGCAAUGAGUAUGAACCUUCAAAGAAAGAUGUGAUCUUUGCUGAAGGAGUGACACGGGGGAAUGGGUUGUCUUUCAUCGAGUUCACCCUUGAUGGUCGCAGCCCCAUGUCUGAACCUUACAUCGACAACCCAGAGGUGCAUUCUCAGCCUCUCACCAAGUAA